rnacentral:rRNA from 1 species
AUUGAACGCUGGCGGCAGGCCUAACACAUGCAAGUCGAACGGUAACAGGAAGAAGCUUGCUUCUUUGCUGACGAGUGGCGGACGGGUGAGUAAUGUCUGGGAAACUGCCUGAUGGAGGGGGAUAACUACUGGAAACGGUAGCUAAUACCGCAUAACGUCGCAAGACCAAAGAGGGGGACCUUCGGGCCUCUUGCCAUCGGAUGUGCCCAGAUGGGAUUAGCUAGUAGGUGGGGUAACGGCUCACCUAGGCGACGAUCCCUAGCUGGUCUGAGAGGAUGACCAGCCACACUGGAACUGAGACACGGUCCAGACUCCUACGGGAGGCAGCAGUGGGGAAUAUUGCACAAUGGGCGCAAGCCUGAUGCAGCCAUGCCGCGUGUAUGAAGAAGGCCUUCGGGUUGUAAAGUACUUUCAGCGGGGAGGAAGGGAGUAAAGUUAAUACCUUUGCUCAUUGACGUUACCCGCAGAAGAAGCACCGGCAAACUCCGUG